UGCCAUCUUAUAAUGACCAGGUUGAUAAACAGCAGCCUUAUUAGAACUGAUACUUCUAUUUUAGUAGCAAUGAUCAGUUAAACUAAAUGAAUAAUAGCUCAUCACUUAUUAGUCAGUAAGUUAGCACGUGCCAGGAGGAGGGCCAUGCCUAGAGAUGUAAAUAAAACUUGAGAUUUUUAACUCAAAAUUUUAUUGAAAUUUUGCAAUUUUUCUUAAAAAUGAUCCCUUUUUAAUUCUAUUGAAUUAUACCUUAAAGUUUUAAACAUAAAUAUAAUAUUUUAAGCAUUUGUCAUAUUUGAAAAAAUUGAUUUCCAAUAAAAUAAAUCGCUGUUAUAUUUCUAUCCCUCAACUCCUUAGAGAAUAGGCAACUCCAUUUUGAUAAAGUAUGUUUGACAUUGGAGAGCAGCAUUUCAGAGACCUAAUUUGAAUUAAUUAUAACUUUGAAAAUUGAAUUGACAUAACUGAUGGUCAAAAGCAUGCACUAUUUGUAUUUCAAAUCAUCUUCAAAUGAAACAAGAAUUAACAUAUCCAUUACAAAUACCAUUAUGCCGUAAUAUAGGAUACUGCACUUCAGAUCUAUUUUUUCUUAGUUAUUAUGAGUAUCAUUGGCUAUAGAAUUCUAAAGCCUAACAAAACAGCAUUUGUACUGAGUUGAAAUUGUUUACCAUUAUUCUAGAUUUCAUCAUUUAUUUUAUUUGUUCCUUGUGCCUCAUUGCUCUCUCUAAAAUAAAUGCAGACAGACAACAUUCUGCUGUGAAGAACACUGAGUUGAGAAUCUGCAUUCAUGUAUCAUACUUAUGUGUCACUUAGGUCAAUGUAGCAAGUUGUUUAGCUUCUUUGAAUUUCAGGGUUCUCAGUAAAUUCUUAAGUUUCUUCUGGUACUAAUAUUCUUUUCGGGUUACAU
rnacentral:lncRNA from 1 species